UACAGAGGUCCCAAGCGUUGUUCGGAAUUACUGGGCGUAAAGGGCUCGUAGGUGGCCAACUAAGUCAGACGUGAAAUCCCUCGGCUUAACCGGGGAACUGCGUCUGAUACUGGAUGGCUUGAGUUCGGGAGAGGGAUGCGGAAUUCCAGGUGUAGCGGUGAAAUGCGUAGAUAUCUGGAGGAACACCGGUGGCGAAGGCGGCAUCCUGGACCGACACUGACACUGAGGAGCGAAAGCCAGGGGAGCAAACGGG
rnacentral:rRNA from 1 species